AUAAGCCUGUGAUGGAUUAGUUAUCCCUGUCCGAAGAGGGAAACUGAGGGAAAAUACUCUAUUCUGAGGCUUAG